rnacentral:rRNA from 1 species
GAUUUCUGACGAACCGGAGUGGCCCGUUUUCAUUUCGGAAAUGAGUGCCGCUUUGAGUUUGUCAUCCUUCCAGAGAGCUGCGUCUACCGUUUACUCGGCCGGACGUAUGCGAUCUGGAUCUAUUACUUUGAAAAAAUUAGAGUGUUUAAAGCAGGCUUUUGCUAUGAAUACAUUAGCAUGGAAUAAUAAUUUAGGACUUUGGUUCUAUUUUGUUGGUUUCUAGAACUCGAGUAAUGAUUGAUAGGGAUAGUUGGGGGUGCUAGUAUUCAGUGGCCAGAGGUGAAAUUCUUGGAUUCACUGAAGACUAACUUAUGCGAAAGCAUU